rnacentral:rRNA from 1 species
GUGCCAGCAGCCGCGGUAAUACGUAGGUGACAAGCGUUGUCCGGAUUUACUGGGCGUAAAGAGCGCGCAGGCGGUCGUUCAAGUCGAGUGUGAAAGCCCCCGGCUCAACUGGGGAGGGUCAUUCGAUACUGAUCGACUCGAAGGCAGGAGAGGGAAGUGGAAUUCCCGGUGUAGUGGUGAAAUGCGUAGAUAUCGGGAGGAACACCAGUGGCGAAGGCGACUUCCUGGCCUGUUCUUGACGCUGAGGCGCGAAAGCUAGGGGAGCAAACGGGAUUAGAUACCCCGGUAGUCC